rnacentral:pre_miRNA from 1 species
UAACUACUCCCUCCGUCCGGAAAUACUUGUCCUAGAAAUGGAUAGGACAAGUAUUUCCGGACGGAGGGAGUACUUG